UACGUAGGGAGCAAGCGUUAUCCGGAUUUAUUGGGUGUAAAAGGUGCGUAGACGGAGAAGCAAGUUAGUUGUGAAAUCCCUCGGCUUAACUGAGGAACUGCAACUAAAACUACUUCCCUUGAGUACUGGAGAGGAAAGUGGAAUUCCUAGUGUAGCGGUGAAAUGCGUAGAUAUUAGGAGGAACACCAGUGGCGAAGGCGACUUUCUGGACAGUAACUGACGUUGAGGCACGAAAGUGUGGGGAGCAAACAGG
rnacentral:rRNA from 1 species